UCUCUCUCUCUCUCUCUCUCACCACCCACUCCUCACUCCUCCCCAACCCUCCACAAUCUUCCUCUCCCUUUAUCAUCCCUAUUAGCUCUUCCCUCCCAUGGCCUCAACCAUCCCUUCCUCCUCCUCCUCCUCCUCCUCCUCCUCUUACUAUCCCUCUCCCGCCAGCAUCACCACCUGGCCCGCAGCUGAAAGAUAGUGAAGCAGGAUAGAAAUAAUGCGUGUUAGUGCCCCGGUGCGUUGCCUGAGUGCCUGAUUAAAUGGUGACGUGGAGUUUUUAAGGGCUGAGGAACACACGACCUUCGACAGCACUUCCUUAUCUACUGAGACCAAGCAGACUGUUGUAAAUGCCUUGCCGUCUCCCCUCCUAUGACUGAUUAAGGACUUAGUUGUCGGGUGAAAUGUUACGUCUGUUUGUGAUGUGUAUUUCUGUAACCUGCUCUCACCACGGCUGUUUUCUGAAGGCUCUGGGCAGACCUCAUCACCGCGGCCUCGUGCUCGCGGCGCCACGCUGAGCUAAAUAUGCUAAUUACUCCGAACGUGACCCCUCUUCCUUUCGCCUCCCCCGUGCUGCUCUGCUGACGAAGUGAUGCAGCGCCUACAGCCUAAAGAGAAGAUGCACCUGGCAGGGGGGAGACACACUUCUUCCUCAACGGCAUAAACAACAAUGGCAGUUGUGGUGGUGGCGGUGAUAGCAGCAGCAGCAGUAGCAUUAUGCCAUCAACAAACCUUUUCGAGAUUGAAACCCCUAUGCUUUUUUUUUUUUUAAUCGUGCAAUAUGAGAUUUUUUUCAAUAUAUUAUACAGCUCUCUGAUGACCUUCCAUCUA